AUUGAACGCUGGCGGCAUGCUUUACACAUGCAAGUCGAACGGCAGCGCGGUCUUCGGCCUGGCGGCGAGUGGCGGACGGGUGAGUAAUACAUCGGAACGUGCCCAUUAGCGGGGUAUAGCUGGGCGAAAGCCGGAAUAAUACCGCAUACGACCUGAGGGCGUAAGCGGGGGAUCUUCGGACCUCCCGCUAUUGGAGCGGCCGAUGGCAGAUUAGCUAGUUGGUGGGGUAAAGGCCUACCAGGGCGACGAUCUGUAGCUGGGUUGGGAGGAGGACAGGCCACACUGGGACUGAGACACGGCCCAGAUCCCUACGGGAGGCAGCGGUGGGGAAUUUUGGAAAAUGGGCGAAAGCCUGAUCAAGCAAUGCCGCGUGUGUGAUGAAGGCCUUCGGGUGGUAAAGCACUUUUGGCGGGAACGAAAAGGACUGUGCCAAUACCACGGUUCGAUGACGGUACCCGAAGAAUAAGCACCGGCUAACUACGU
rnacentral:rRNA from 1 species